GUCGAUUCCGCCGGACCCGACUGCUAUCAGAGUGGGACUAAGCCAUGCGAGUCAACAUAGCAAUAUGUGGCAUACGGCUCAGUAACACGUAGUCAACAUGCCCAGGGGACGUGGAUAACCUCGGGAAACUGAGGAUAAACCGCGAUAAGUCACUACUUCUGGAAUGGGUAAUGACUCAAAUCUAUAUGGCCCCUGGAUUGGACUGCGGCCGAUCAGGCUGUUGGUGAGGUAAUGGCCCACCAAACCUGUAACCGGUACGGGCUCUGAGAGGAGGAGCCCGGAGAUGGGCACUGAGACAAGGGCCCAGGCCCUAUGGGGCGCAGCAGGCGCGAAACCUCUGCAAUAGGCGAAAGCUUGACAGGGUUACUCUGAGUGAUUUCCGUUAAGGAAAUCUUUUGGCACCUCUAAAAAUGGUGCAGAAUAAGGGGUGGGCAAGUCUGGUGUCAGCCGCCGCGGUAAUACCAGCACCCCGAGUGGUCGGGAUGUUUAUUGGGCCUAAAGCAUCCGUAGCCGGUUCUACAAGUCUUCCGUUAAAUCCAACUGCUUAACAGGUGGGCUGCGGAAGAUACUAUAGAGCUAGGAGGCGGGAGAGGCAAGCGGUACUCGAUGGGUAGGGGUAAAAUCCGUUGAUCCAUUGAAGACCACCAGUGGCGAAGGCGGCUUGCCAGAACGCGCUCGACGGUGAGGGAUGAAAGCUGGGGGAGCAAACCGGAUCAGAUACCCGGGUAGUCCCAGCUGUAAACGAUGCAGACUCGGUGAUGAGUUGGCUAUAUGCCAACUCAGUGCCGCAGGGAAGCCGUUAAGUUUGCCGCCUGGGGAGUACGGUCGCAAGACUGAAACUUAAAGGAAUUGGCGGGGGAGCACCACAAGGGGUGAAGCCUGCGGUUCAAUUGGAUUCAACGCCGG
rnacentral:rRNA from 1 species